CCUCAGCAGAACCAAAAAAUCGGUAAAAAAAAUUUAAAAAAAAAUAAAAACAACAUAAAAAACCCUCCAAAGCGACCCCAAAAGCAGCCGGGCAGCGCUCGGGCCCGGCCCGGCCCGCAGGCCCGGCCGCAGACGGGGCCGGGCUGGCGCUCCGCGCUGCCCCGCGGUGCUGGCGGGCUGUCCCGGGCGGCGGGGCUCGCUGGCCCCGCUGGAACCCCCCUGUCCCGGGAUGCCGGGAUCCCGCUACUCACCGAGCGCCGCUCCCGGGCUCUCCACGGGCGACCGCAGCGGGGCGGAGGCCACGCCCACCGAGCCAGGCCACGCCCACCGAGACAAGCCACGCCCCUUCUCACCGACCACGCCCACCCCGCAUGGCCCCGCCCCUUCCUGAGCGGGGAGGGGGCCGGGAUGGUGGGCGGGGCCAGGAGAAAUGUGGGCGUGGCCACGCCGUUCUCCCAAAUCCAUGCAGAAUUCCACAGCCAAACGCGUCCAGUCCCCCUUGUGAAAAGACCCUCUCACUGCAAAUCAGCUGCAUUUGCCCUCUGCUCAAAGCUUGGAGUGAGUUCUCAACACAGGCUGCCAAGAAGAGACUUGCUGGAAGUGUGAAGAGGACAAAGAUGAGGAUGGAGGCAGCCGCCCAAGCCAGACCCUGUUCUAGUGCCCAGCUGUGCCCAGCUGUGCCAGCAAGGUUCAGCUCCACCACCACGGGACUCUGAACAAACCCAGCCGAGCCACGGCAAUGCUGGGCUCCCCUCCUUCCUCUGCUCCUCCAUCCUUUUUUGCAUUAUUAAAUGUACUCCUGUCUAACAGGAUUUUAUGUCAUCGUUUUUCCCCAAAGUGGGAAAAAAGGAAAUAAUUAGGGGUGGCAGGUCUAGCCCGGCACGCAGCAACACCAUUAAGCAGGAGGCUGCUACGCUGAGUUGGUCUGGAGCCUCUUUAGCAUUUUCAUUAGCUCUCCAAAGCUUUUGAUGUCCCUUAUUUACAACACAGACACUGCAGAGGAGGCAGGCAAUGAUUAAGACAAGCUUUUACUCUUCUGGAGUUCACUGGAUACCUCGUGGCUACGGACCCUGCAUAUAAAGCAAUAUUGCUUAUUAUUCUGUGCUGUUUGUUCCAUUAAUCAUGAGCCUGCUUUGCUCUGGGAAGAGGAAUUGGAAUACAGCAAUAUUCUGUCUGCUUGUUUUUAAAAUACAUGUGUGGGUGGACACUCCAGCUACUGCUCACAUUUUUCUCUCACAAGAAGAGCUGUUCGUGAUUCUCCUCCCCAGUGUUUUCUUCUGACACUGGUUUUGUUCGCCGAACUCAGGAAGGGAACUGCCUCAAGCCUGUCAAUGAGUGUUGUAUGGAAAUAAGGAGUACUAACUGAGAAAUGCUUGAAAUUCGGCAUCCCAGAGAGGAAAAGGAUUUCUUUUCCAUCAUGGAAAGGGGGGUCAGGCUGGACAUUGGACUGGGCUGCCCAGGGAAGUGGUGGAGUCCCCAUCCAAGGAAGGUGACACUCAGUGCUCUGGGCUGGGUGACAAGAGGGGGAUUUGGCACAGAUUGAACUUCAUGGUCUUGGAGGGCUUUUCCAACCUCAGUGAUUCCACGAUCCUGUGGUUCAGUUCAAAGUCACUCACUGCCCUCACAGUCUCAGCCUUCAGCAGCCACCCAGCGGGUCUGGGGAUUCCUUCAGGAUAUUCCAGAAGGAAUUUUCAGAGUGUUCAACUCGUCAUCCUG
rnacentral:lncRNA from 1 species